ACGGGUUAAUAUUCCCGUACCGACAAUACUGCGAUGGGGGGACGGAGAAAGCUAGGCAGGCAUGGCGUUGGUAGUCCAUGUGAAAGUGCGUAGGAAGGGGGAUUAGGCAAAUCCGGUUCCCUAUAUUCUGAGACACGAGACGAGCCACUACGGUGGUGAAGCUGUUGACGCUACGCUUCCAGGAAAAGCCUCUAAGCUUCAGGUAUUGUCGACCGUACUCGAAACCGACACAGGUGGUCAGGUAGAGCAUACCAAGGCGCUUGAGAGAACUCGGGUGAAGGAACUAGGCAAAAUGGCACCGUAACUUCGGGAGAAGGUGCGCCGGUGAGGGUGAAGCAUUUACUGCGUAAGCCCACGCCGGUCGAAGAUACCAGGCCGCUGCGACUGUUUAUUAAAAACACAGCACUCUGCAAACACGAAAGUGGACGUAUAGGGUGUGACGCCUGCCCGGUGCUGGAAGAUUAAAUGAUGGGGUGCAAGCUCUUGAUUGAAGUCCCAGUAAACGGCGGCCGUAACUAUAACGGUCCUAAGGUAGCGAAAUUCCUUGUCGGGUAAGUUCCGACCUGCACGAAUGGCGUAACGAUGGCGGCGCUGUCUCCACCCGAGACUCAGUGAAAUUGAAAUCGCUGUGAAGAUGCAGUGUAUCCGCGGCUAGACGGAAAGACCCCGUGAACCUUUACUAUAGCUUUGCACUGGACUUUGAAUUUGCUUGUGUAGGAUAGGUGGGAGGCUUUGAAGCGUGGACGCCAGUUCGCGUGGAGCCAUCCUUGAAAUACCACCCUGGCAACUUUGAGGUUCUAACUCAGGUCCGUUAUCCGGAUCGAGGACAGUGUAUGGUGGGUAGUUUGACUGGGGCGGUCUCCUCCCAAAGCGUAACGGAGGAGUUCGAAGGUACGCUAGGUACGGUCGGACAUCGUGCUAAUAGUGCAAUGGCAUAAGCGUGCUUAACUGCGAGACUGACAAGUCGAGCAGAUGCGAAAGCAGGACAUAGUGAUCCGGUGGUUCUGUAUGGAAGGGCCAUCGCUCAACGGAUAAAAGGUACUCCGGGGAUAACAGGCUGAUACCGCCCAAGAGUUCAUAUCGACGGCGGUGUUUGGCACCUCGAUGUCGGCUCAUCUCAUCCUGGGGCUGUAGCCGGUCCCAAGGGUAUGGCUGUAAAAAAAG
rnacentral:rRNA from 1 species